rnacentral:misc_RNA from 1 species
GAUGAAGAACGUAGCGAAAUGCGACAAGUAAUGUGAAUUGCAGAAUUCCGUGAAUCAUCGAAUCUUUGAACGCACAUUGCGCCCUCUGGUAUUCUGGAGGGCAUGCCUGUCCGAGCGUCAUUGCUAUACCUCAAGCCCGGCUUGUGUGUUGGGCCUCCGUCCUCCUCCCGGGGGACGGGCCCGAAAGGCAGCGGCGGCACCGCGUCCGGUCCUCGAGCGUAUGGGGCUUCGUCACCCGCUCUUGUAGGCCCGGCCGGCGCUUGCCGACACAUCAAUCUUUUUUCCAGGUUGACCUCGGAUCAGGUAGGGAUACCCGCUGAACUUAAGCAUAUCAAUAAGCGGAGGA